rnacentral:rRNA from 1 species
UACGUAGGGUGCGAGCGUUAAUCGGAAUUACUGGGCGUAAAGUGUGCGCAGGUGGCUGAGCAAGUCGAGUGUGAAAUCCCCGGGCUUAACUUGGGAAUUGCGCUCGAAACUACUUGGCUCGAGUGUGGCAGAGGAAGGUGGAAUUCCAGGUGUAGCGGUGAAAUGCGUAGAGAUCUGGAGGAACACUGAUGGCGAAGGCAGCCUUCUGGGCCAACACUGACGCUCAUGCACGAAAGCGUGGGGAGCAAACAGG